rnacentral:rRNA from 1 species
AUUGAACGCUGGCGGCAGGCCUAACACAUGCAAGUCGAGCGGUAACAGGAGAAAGCUUGCUUUCUUGCUGACGAGCGGCGGACGGGUGAGUAAUGUAUGGGGAUCUGCCCGAUAGAGGGGGAUAACUACUGGAAACGGUAGCUAAUACCGCAUGACGUCUACGGACCAAAGCAGGGGCUCUUCGGACCUUGCGCUAUCGGAUGAACCCAUAUGGGAUUAGCUAGUAGGUGAGGUAAUGGCUCACCUAGGCGACGAUCUCUAGCUGGUCUGAGAGGAUGAUCAGCCACACUGGGACUGAGACACGGCCCAG